rnacentral:rRNA from 1 species
UACGGGGGGAGCAAGCGUUGUUCGGAUUUACUGGGCGUAAAGGGCGCGUAGGCGGUCGUGCAAGUGGAAGGUGAAAUCCCUCGGCUCAACCGAGGAACUGCCUUUCAAACUGCAUGACUUGAGUCCGGGAGAGGUGAGUGGAAUUCCCAGUGUAGCGGUGAAAUGCGUAGAUAUUGGGAGGAACACCAGUGGCGAAGGCGGCUCACUGGACCGGAACUGACGCUGAGGCGCGAAAGCGUGGGGAGCAAACGGG